rnacentral:rRNA from 1 species
CCUACGGGAGGCAGCAGUAGGGAAUCUUCCGCAAUGGACGAAAGUCUGACGGAGCAACGCCGCGUGAGUGAUGAAGGUUUUCGGAUCGUAAAACUCUGUUGUUAGGGAAGAACAAGUAUGAGAGUAACUGCUCGUACCUUGACGGUACCUAACCAGAAAGCCACGGCUAACUACGUGCCAGCAGCCGCGGUAAUACGUAGGUGGCAAGCGUUGUCCGGAAUUAUUGGGCGUAAAGCGCGCGCAGGCGGUUCCUUAAGUCUGAUGUGAAAGCCCACGGCUCAACCGUGGAGGGUCAUUGGAAACUGGGGAACUUGAGUGCAGAAGAGGAAAGCGGAAUUCCACGUGUAGCGGUGAAAUGCGUAGAGAUGUGGAGGAACACCAGUGGCGAAGGCGGCUUUCUGGUCUGUAACUGACGCUGAGGCGCGAAAGCGUGGGGAGCAAACAGGAUUAGAUACCCCAGUAGUC